GGUCUGGUGGUGUAGUUGGUUAUCACGUCAGUCUAACAGAGCGAGAGUUCCAUACUCUCACCUGGCACACUGAAGGUCUCCGGUUCAAGUCCGGGCUAGAUCA
rnacentral:tRNA from 1 species